CCUCUCAUUAUAGCGUUUAUCCUUUCAUUUAUUUUUUUUAUUUUUUUUCAAUUUUUUUAAUGUCUUGUCUGCCGCUGACUCUUCAUUUCCUCUCUAGGUCUUUCCGGAAUCUCUGGAAUCUCCUGAAAUCUUCUUCACGAGUAUGGUUAGUACUAUGUGAUCAUGAAGGAACGAAGGGGACGGAUAGGGGUUUUUUAGGCAUUAUGAUUUCAUGCUUGGAAGAUGUUGGAUUUACUGCCAGUGGCGUUUUGGAUAUCCUUUUUAGAUUUGAGGCUAGGAAAGACUUUGAGUUAGUGAAUGUUCUCUUGCUGCUUCGAAGAUGAAUAAGGGGGCUUGAUCUCUUUGAGGAUCAUUAGUUCAAGCAGUGGCAUGUAAUUGCUUGACAACGAGAGAGAGCACGCUAGUCAGCAUUCAUGCGAGGAACAUGACUGUGUACAGGCGUGCUCUCUGUCGCUGUCAUACAAUCUUCUCAUCAAGGCUGUCUUACAUAUUCACCUUGUUCGUGAGCGUUGGACCUCAAGGCAUACAGACUAGCAGAUUCUUGCAGGAUCAUCUUGAGACAGAAUGGUUCAGAUGAGCCUUGAAAUUUAAUCUUGAAGUUAAGCAGGGCUUUCAUUUGGCAUGUGCCUUGCAAGCAUUAGCAUAGUCAAAAGUAGGCUUUGCAGCUAGCAUAUGCAGAGGGGAGUUUCCAUCAUAACAGAAUCCAUGAGACCAUCCAGCCUAUCAAUAAUUUGUAACGCCAGAUCUGUGGAGCACAACUAUUGUGAUGAGGUCACAUUACAGGUGAGUAGUACUAUCGAUUCUAUUGAUAUGUGAUUUAUAUUAUAAGAAGCAAGACACCUAAGGCAUCUACCAUGGACUAUGGAGAAGAGUCCAACCCCUUACCCAAGUGUCCUCCUUCAAUGGCACUGUGAAGAGCAGUGCCACCAAGCCUGGCAUGGGAGUAGUCAUGGGCUUGGGCGAGGCUGUCUCACAUUUCAUAGACCGAAAGGGAAGUGUCUUUAUCACCUAGGAAAGCAUCCAAGAAAAGAGGUGAUAUAUAUUGGAUUGUCUAUUUUCCACUGCUAACAACACUAUGUUCUUGUCCUCCUGAUCCCUGUCAAGAAUGGUCAUAGGAAAAACUUGUAGGAUUUUUUCUACCAUUUCCACAAUACCGUUCCUUGCUGCAACAAGCAUUGGUGCCUCAUCAGCUGCAAGGAGAACAAAACUCAUUCUUCGGCCUCUCCUUAAUAUUACUUUCCACCAGAUCUGCCUCUCCUUAAUAUUAGUUACAGAUGGAGCAAGUGGUUGAAUAACUUUUCUUCACAUUUAUGUAUACAAACCUACGAAUUUAUGUAUACAAACCUACGAAUUUAUUUGUAAGAAACAGAGUUGACAAAGAAGUUCCUUCCCUUCUUCUGAAGUAUCCAUAUUAUGAAUAACAAUAUCGACCUGUCUCAUCGUUUUCAA